AAAUGGGAAAUCGAGAGACACAGUGGCAGAUCUAGGGGGUUCCUAGGUUCCCAGGAACCCCCUCGGUUUGGAAAAAAAGUAGUGGAAACCUUGGAUGAUUUAGGAUAAAUUAGUGAGAAUCUACCAAAAGGAUACCCCUGGAAAAUCCGCCACUAGGGAGGCAACAACAACAUGGGGUUGAGACGGUUUUUCAAUCACAAUCAAGCUUCUUCGAGUUCUAUUACCGGAGGGAAACGUGAAAAACCCGACAAUGGAUGGGAAUUAUUCCCUAUGAACUACAAGCAUCAACAACCACCAUGGCAAUAGAGGUUCGUUCAUGUUGUUACUAUACAAUACAUCAACGUAACCCGUCCACCGGACGGGUAUUCAAGCCUGCAAAACUUAUGCAAAAAAGGAAAUAUAUGAGUUAGCAACUAAUGCAUCAACUUAUCAAGAAUUAUUGAUGAUGCUUUGUCCUUAAGCUGAUAUUUAGAGAGGUUACUUAAUAUGAAAGAAGAGGCCUUCUUUGUGUUGGGGAAACAUAAAGAUACGGUUCAAUUGUGGGGCGAAAUCUAGAUUCAUUCGAAAAGAAGUUUGCAACUGACUCAAAGUUUUGGAGGUGGAACCUGAUGUAAAAAUCUUACUUUCCCCUGGAUAGGCUUGAGAUAGCUCUUAACUUCAUUGAGAA